rfam:Serratia marcescens FGI94, complete genome.
GGUAUUCCUUAUCUGUCUAAUGGUUUAUUUGGAGCCUGUCUUCCUGCGCUCUGCGGCAAAGCGCACGAAGACAGGCUCAUCAGUUUAGUUGCCGCUAAAGUACUUAAC